UGGGGAAUAUCGCACAAUGGGCGCAAGCCUGAUGCAGCCAUGCCGCGUGUGUGAAGAAGGCCUUCGGGUUGUAAAGCACUUUCAGCGGGGAGGAAGGCGAUAAGGUUAAUAACCUUGUCGAUUGACGUUACCCGCAGAAGAAGCACCGGCUAACUCCGUGCCAGCAGCCGCGGUAAUACGGAGGGUGCAAGCGUUAAUCGGAAUUACUGGGCGUAAAGCGCACGCAGGCGGUCUGUCAAGUCGGAUGUGAAAUCCCCGGGCUCAACCUGGGAACUGCAUUCGAAACUGGCAGGCUAGAGUCUUGUAGAGGGGGGUAGAAUUCCAGGUGUAGCGGUGAAAUGCGUAGAGAUCUGGAGGAAUACCGGUGGCGAAGGCGGCCCCCUGGACAAAGACUGACGCUCAGGUGCGAAAGCGUGGGGAGCAAACAGG
rnacentral:rRNA from 1 species